GUUGGCAAAAGAUAAUUUUCAUG
rnacentral:siRNA from 1 species